GACGAACGCUGGCGGCGUGCUUAACACAUGCAAGUCGAACGAUGAAGGAGGAGCUUGCUCCUCCGGAUUAGUGGCGAACGGGUGAGUAAUACGUGAGCAAUGUGCCCUUGACUCUGGGAUAAGCGCUGGAAACGGCGUCUAAUACCGGAUACGACGAUCGGAGGCAUCUCCUGGUCGUGGAAAGAACUUCGGUCAAGGAUCAGCUCACGGCCUAUCAGCUAGUUGGUGAGGUAACGGCUCACCAAGGCGACGACGGGUAGCCGGCCUGAGAGGGUGACCGGCCACACUGGGACUGAGACACGGCCCAGACUCCUACGGGAGGCAGCAGUGGGGAAUAUUGCACAAUGGGCGCAAGCCUGAUGCAGCAACGCCGCGUGAGGGACGAAGGCCUUCGGGUUGUAAACCUCUUUUAGCAGGGAAGAAGCGAAAGUGACGGUACCUGCAGAAAAAGCACCGGCUAACUACGUGCCAGCAGCCGCGGUAAUACGUAGGGUGCAAGCGUUGUCCGGAAUUAUUGGGCGUAAAGAGCUCGUAGGCGGUUUGUCACGUCUGCUGUGAAAACCCGAGGCUCAACCUCGGGCUUGCAGUGGGUACGGGCAGACUAGAGUGCGGUAGGGGAGAUUGGAAUUCCUGGUGUAGCGGUGGAAUGCGCAGAUAUCAGGAGGAACACCGAUGGCGAAGGCAGAUCUCUGGGCCGUAACUGACGCUGAGGAGCGAAAGCAUGGGGAGCAAACAGGCUUAGAUACCCUGGUAGUCCAUGCCGUAAACGUUGGGAACUAGAUGUGGGGACCAUUCCACGGUCUCCGUGUCGUAGCUAACGCAUUAAGUUCCCCGCCUGGGGAGUACGGCCGCAGGGUAAAACUCAAAGGAUUGACGGGGGCCCGCACAAGCGCGGACAUGCGGAUAAUUCGAUGCACGCG
rnacentral:rRNA from 14 species